AGUUGCUGAAGCCUUGAAGAGGUGCCUUCAAUGUGGGAGAGCCAGAUGAAGGUGGAGAUCAGCAAGAGAGUAAAAGCUGCCGAUGGGAACUGAGUCAGCCAAGGAAAGCUGGAACUCACAUCACAGCUGCCCUAUUUACUUACCUACCGGCUGCAUUUCUUAGAACCAGUUUUGUUCCUGUUCAAAAGGAAACCAGGCAAAGUUGGGAAAAUAUUUCCUCAGCCAGCUCCUCAGCAACGCUGUCUGAGGGAUUCCAUCUGGCCAAGAUGCUCUUCAAGCAACUAUAGUAUGGUAAUUAAGUACAUCCGGGGCCAGAAUACCUGAGUUCAAAUCCAGGCUCUACAACUUAUGAGCUGAAGAACCUCAGCUUCAGGCUCUUCCAGGCUGCAAUGACCAGCACCGAGAUGGAGACACAGAGGCCAUGCAAAGGACUGGCGGAUGCUGACUCCAGCCCCAGGGCUGUCCCAGCUACAACCAUGACUUCUACCACCAGGCUGCAGAUGACCCAAGUCUGUCUCCAGCCUCCAUUUCUCAUGUGAAUUCCACACCUGUACACUCAACUGCCUACUGGACAUUUCCACUUAGAUCUCAAAUUUGAAACACCUCAAAAGUCAACUUGUCCAAAAGUGAAGUCCUAAUUUUCUGCAUAAACCUAAUCCUCCUUUGUAUUCUGCAUCUUGGUGUAUUGUGUUUGAUAGUGGUUUCCAGUCUCUGUGUGCCAGUGGAUGAGCUUCUGGGGCUUUCUGUGAGUUUCCUGAAAUAGCAUACAAGAUUUUGCAUGCAUACACAUAGGUAGUUUUUACAAAUCCUGACUGCAAAGCAAAAUGAUCACUGGUCUACAAAGUCAAGUCCAAAUGCCUUUG